AAGAGGGGAGUGUGUUAGCUUGUGCCUUGUCUGAGAGCUAAGUCAGGGAAAAUUGGUAAUUGUGAUGACCAUGAUGAUGGAUUCAGUGGCCCUUCCCUAGACUUUACUGCUAGAGCUGACCAGUAUGGGGUAGGGAGAACAUGUGCACAGUCAGGACAGCAUAGCGCUGUGGUGCCCUUGGAGGAGACAUUUUAAGAAAAUAGAAAACCAAAAAUCUUGACAUUGCUAGACAUCUCUAUGUCACUGUAUGUCUCUGAGUUUCAGCGGAUGGGCAUAGUGGCUUGCUCCUAGAGUGGGAGGUAACAGAUGCACCCCGGGACUGGACACAAACUCUGAAGAUUUUGAAGAAGUCCAGACAUGUGCUGAAUCUGGAGCUUCCUGUCCAGUGUGAUGUGAAGAGAAGUGUAGUCAAGUUGGAAGGCUACAAGAAGUAAAUCCCAAACCGAUAAGUUGAAGGUCACAGUCUGAGAGGGCAUUCAAGAGGAGCUGUACCACACCUGGAAAGCCACAAUGAUUUUUCUGGAGCAGGGCAGGUGCAUGCCACAAGCUGAGAAGCAUGGGGAGAGGCCUGCAACGCCACUCCCCCACUCACCGCACAGUCCAUCUCUCCAGCCCACAAGGUAGG
rnacentral:sRNA from 1 species